rnacentral:rRNA from 1 species
GAUGAACGCUGGCGGCGUGCCUAAUACAUGCAAGUCGAGCGAACAGACGAGGAGCUUGCUCCUCUGACGUUAGCGGCGGACGGGUGAGUAACACGUGGAUAACCUACCUAUAAGACUGGGAUAACUUCGGGAAACCGGAGCUAAUACCGGAUAAUAUAUUGAACCGCAUGGUUCAAUAGUGAAAGACGGUUUUGCUGUCACUUAUAGAUGGAUCCGGGCCGCAUUAGCUAGUUGGUAAGGUAACGGCUUACCAAGGCAACGAUGCGUAGCCGACCUGAGAGGGGGUAGCCCCCCUCAGAAAGUGAGACACGGCACUGGCACCGAGGGGGGGCAGAGGGUGGGACGGGGCGGAAAAGGGGGAAAUCCUGCAGGAGGAACGGCGGGGUGGUGAAGAAGGGCCGCGGGUGGUAAAACUCUUUUCUGAGGGAAAAACAAUUGUGUAAGUAACGAAGCACGUCUUACCGUAACCUAUACAGAAACCCCCGGCAAACACGUG